UACAGAGGUCUCAAGCGUUGUUCGGAUUCAUUGGGCGUAAAGGGUGCGUAGGCGGCGCGGCAAGUCGGGUGUGAAAUCUCGGAGCUUAACUUCGAAACUGCAUUCGAUACUGCCGUGCUUGAGGACUGGAGAGGAGACUGGAAUUUACGGUGUAGCGGUGAAAUGCGUAGAUAUCGUAAGGAAGACCAGUGGCGAAGGCGGGUCUCUGGACAGUUCCUGACGCUGAGGCACGAAGGCCAGGGGAGCAAACGGG
rnacentral:rRNA from 1 species